UUGACCUCCACUCCCCUGGUCUAUGCCUCCAGAAGAGGACUUCAAUGGCAGGCCCGGAAGAGAGAGGUCCUUCCCUCUCUGGGCUUCACUUCUCUUCCUUCAAAGCAAAGGGUGUGAACAGACUACAGAUUCCUGGGGUCGCGUCACACAGAAAGACAACAUACGUGUGCAUCGGGAUGACUUCGGAGCACAACGCCCAGCGCCCGGUGUGUAAUCUUGGCUUCUCCCUGCCUCUGGGCUCCUGCCAUCUCCUACCAGGUGUUUUUCAGGUGCUCUCUGUGCCUGGAGCAUCUAACUUCCUGGAGUAAAUGCUGAGCUCCCCAAAGGAGCCAUGUCUGCUUUGUCUCCCCAGAACCUGCCAUGGAAUGAGCUCCGAGGGGGCUCAAGACGAGCAGCUGAGCUGAACUGCUGCCUCUCCAAUACCCAUCAAAGCCUCUCACUACCUGUUGGUGAGCGAGCAUGUCGUCUUCACUGCCUAAGCCUUCUGUUCACAACGAGACUCUAUUAAUUUU